rnacentral:rRNA from 1 species
GCUUGCUGCUUCGCUGACGAGUGGCGGACGGGUGAGUAAUGUCUGGGAAACUGCCUGAUGGAGGGGGAUAACUACUGGAAACGGUAGCUAAUACCGCAUAACGUCGCAAGACCAAAGAGGGGGACCUUCGGGCCUCUUGCCAUCGGAUGUGCCCAGAUGGGAUUAGCUUGUUGGUGGGGUAACGGCUCACCAAGGCGACGAUCCCUAGCUGGUCUGAGAGGAUGACCAGCCACACUGGAACUGAGACACGGUCCAGACUCCUACGGGAGGCAGCAGUGGGGAAUAUUGCACAAUGGGCGCAAGCCUGAUGCAGCCAUGCCGCGUGUAUGAAGAAGGCCUUCGGGUUGUAAAGUACUUUCAGCGGGGAGGAAGGGAGUAAAGUUAAUACCUUUGCUCAUUGACGUUACCCGCAGAAGAAGCACCGGCUAACUCCGUGCCAGCAGCCGCGGUAAUACGGAGGGUGCAAGCGUUAAUCGGAAUUACUGGGCGUAAAGCGCACGCAGGCGGUUUGUUAAGUCAGAUGUGAAUCCCCGGGCUCAACCUGGGAACUGCAUCUGAUACUGGCAAGCUUGAGUCUCGUAGAGGGCGGUAGAAUUCAGUGUAGCGGUGAAUGCGUAGAGAUCUGGAGGAUACGGUGGCGAUGCGCCCUGACGAGACUGACGCUCAGUGCGAGCGUGCGAGCAACAGAUAGAUACCUGUAGUCACGCGUAACGAUGUCGACUGAGUGUGUCCUGAGCGU